GACGAACGCUGGCGGCGCGCUUAAUACAUGCAAGUCGAACGGGAAGCGGGGCUUCGGCCCCGUGGAGAGUGGCGAACGGGUGCGUAACACGUGAGCAACCUGCCCCGGAGACCGGGAUAACUCGAGGAAACUCGAGCUAAUACCGGAUGUCCUCACCGAAUCGCAUGGUUUGGUGAGGAAAUGGAUUCCGCUCCGGGAUGGGCUCGCGGUCUAUCAGCUUGUUGGUGGGGUAACGGCUCACCAAGGCUACGACGGAUAGCUGGUCUGAGAGGACGAUCAGCCACACUGGGACUGAGACACGGCCCAGACUCCUACGGGAGGCAGCAGUAGGGAAUCUUGCGCAAUGGGGGAAACCCUGACGCAGCGACGCCGCGUGCGGGAUGAAGGCCCUCGGGUUGUAAACCGCUUUCAGCAGGGACGAAAUUGACGGUACCUGCAGAAGAAGGCCCGGCCAACUACGUGC
rnacentral:rRNA from 1 species